rnacentral:lncRNA from 1 species
UUCCCCCUCCACUUCCUAUGAAUCAAAUGAGUCGUAAUUAUUCGACUUAUAUCUAUAUUUUUAGUGUCCGAUUUGUAUCUGUAUUCGUUUAAAAUAAAUAUAGAUAUAAAUUUUUGCAUCCUACUAAUAUCUAUAUCCAUAUUUAUAUUUAUCAAAUAAAAUAAAUAUAGAUAUAAAUAUAUUGGUAUCCGAUCCAUAUCCGAUUUAGUUUCAAUCCUACAAAGCAACAAGUGAUUCAUUUAUCUACCUAUAUAA